rnacentral:pre_miRNA from 1 species
UACCCGUAAAUUCUCGGACAGUUCGUAUAUGUAAGCGCACUGCCCAGAAUUUUCGGGUUCC